rnacentral:lncRNA from 1 species
AGAAAUAUAUAUGAUGAAUUAAAAAAUUCCAUUAAGAUACAUGUAAGUUGAAAGUCCAACAUUACUUGAAAAAGUUGGAAGACCCAGUUGUACAUAAAUACAUAUUGUAAAGAAAUUAAGAACAACUAAGUUUGUUUAUGUAGAGAUAGGACACAUAUUCUGUGAAUAAAGUUAAGGCUUAUGUAUUUUUUAACAAGCACAAAUGGAAGGGGUGAAAAUAAAACAAUCAUAUAAGAAAAUUUGGAGUCUCUCAACAUAACUAUCAUCGUAGAGGUUCGAAUGAUCCUCCCCAGAUCAACAAUUUGAUGGUCAAAUUUAGAGAGAUACCUAAGAAUAAAGAAGAAAACUUCAAGCAUCCAACAAAAGCCAUGGAUGAAGGAAACCUAUAUAAUAAAAUAGGAUUCCUUCCUCCUUCUCCACCCUCCUCCUUAAAUACUUGAGCAAAAGGAAAACAAAACACAUCCUUGCUGUUAAAAGCAUCCUUUAAGGAGGUCUAUAUAAAGACAUAUCCUUGUAGACAAAAGCA